GGAAUUUUCCGCAAUGGGGGAAACCCUGACGCAGCAACGCCGCGUGAGUGAUGAAGGCCUCUGGGCUGUAAACCUCUUUUAUCAAGGAAGAAGAUCUGACGGUACUUGAUGAAUAAGCCACGGCUAAUUCCGUGCCAGCAGCCGCGGUAAUACGGGAGUGGCAAGCGUUAUCCGGAAUUAUUGGGCGUAAAGCGUCCGCAGGCGGCCCUUCAAGUCUGCUGUUAAAAAGUGGAGCUUAACUCCAUCAUGGCAGUGGAAACUGUUGGGCUUGAGUGUGGUAGGGGCAGAGGGAAUUCCCGGUGUAGCGGUGAAAUGCGUAGAUAUCGGGAAGAACACCAGUGGCGAAGGCGCUCUGCUGGGCCAUCACUGACGCUCAUGGACGAAAGCCAGGGGAGCGAAAGGGAUUAGAUACCCCAGUAGUC
rnacentral:rRNA from 1 species